rnacentral:lncRNA from 1 species
AUACACUGCGAGCACUGUUCAGUGCUCUUACUGGGGAGAUAUUCGUUCCGUUAUUGACUGACAGUAUACAGUCCUGUACAGUCGCAGUAUCCUGGGGAAAUAUAUGACGUCAUAAAUCGUCGCCAUUUUUCUACUGUGAAUACUGGUGCUUUCGAGUGUGAAACAAAUAUUAUGUAUGGAAUGAAAGUAACGCCAAAAAAUGUCGAUCACAGUAUUGGGAAAUCAUCCACUCAGAUACGCUACCUGACGGAUCAAAUAUAAACUACUCUGUGCAGGUCAAGCUUAAACUGCUGAUACCAAAUAUAAUAUGUGAGAAAUGUAGUUUAAAAGUGUUAAACUUUUUUUUAAAUAUUAAGUAAUCAAUUAUUAUCUAUAAGCUUAGUUAUUACUUAAAAACAUCUUAAAUUUCAAUAUUUGAUCAAAAAAUUUAAUCAUGGAGUUUCCACCACGAGAAAAUAAAAAUAAAACUUUCUGCUGCGUGUAUGGGUGUAAUAGCAAGUCUAGUAAGAACAAUACAGUUCGAUUUUACACUUUUCCUUCGGCAAAUUCUAGUUUUGUAGUAAUCAAAAAUAAAUUUGGUGAAGAUGAAGUAAUUGAUCGUCGAUUAGCUUGGAUAAAAGCAUUGAAAAUUGGGAAUGAGGUUACACAGUCAAAAAAAGUGUUUUCAUUACAUUUCACCAAAAAUGACUUCAUACCAACAUCCAAUGUUGCGAUAUUGCACCCACAAUUUCAUGCGGUGGAUCUUUUAAACGAGAAGUUUGGAGACAGAAUGCAAUUAUUUUAUACUCAUUAUCACAACUAGUAUCUGAUUGCUGUAGGCCACAUUU